rnacentral:rRNA from 1 species
AAUGAACGCUGGCGGCGCGCCUAAUACAUGCAAGUCGAGCGAGAAGACGUAGCAAUACGUUUGUAAAGCGGCGAACGGGUGAGGAAUACAUGGGUAACCUACCCUAGAGUGGGGAAUAGCUAGCCGAAAGGUUAGCUAAUACCGCGUACGCUCCUUGGACUUCGGUUCAGGGAGGAAAGCGAUGCCGAGGGUAUCGCGCUCUUGGAUGGGCUCAUGUCCUAUCAGCUUGNGGUGAGGUAACGGCUCACCAAGGCUUCGACGGGUAGCUGGUCUGAGAGGACGAUC